rnacentral:misc_RNA from 1 species
UGCGGCUGGAUCCCCUCCUUUCUAGAGACAUGCCCUGGGACCAGGUGUCCACACUUAUCGGUUGUCGGCAAAGCAGGAUUGAGGGAUGAGGACUUAGGAUUGAGGGUGUCACUUGCGCUUCGCCCUAAGUCCUCAAUCCUUGAUCCGAGGUCCUGAACACUGGGUCUGUAGCUCAGCUGGUCAGAGCACACGCUUGAUAAGCGUGGGGUCGUUGGUUCAAAUCCAACCAGACCCACCACGCAUUCCGCCAUUUCCUUAGGGGGGUGUAGCUCAGUUGGGAGAGCGCCUGCUUUGCAAGCAGGAGGUCAUCGGUUCGAUCCCGUUCACCUCCACCAUUCAGAUCCAGAGUUUAGUGUUGAGCGUUGCGAGCGCGGUGCUUGCAGCCCUGAACACUCAACUCUCAACAGAGUUGAUCGGCUGGAGUGCUCUUUAACAAAGCGGAAGAAGUAAAGGUCCUGGUUCAACGCGAACUGCGGGUGCGAACUCGCGCGUUUGCAGAGAAUCAGGGACUGGGUUUGAUUGUAUCGCGCGUUCAACGCACAAAAGGAGUUGAAUGCGGCAAACACGAGUUCACCUGUAGCCGGCGAUCUUCGGAACCUUCCGAGGACUCAAGGUUAUAGGGUCAAGCGAACAAGUGCAUGUGGUGGAUGCCUUGGCGAUUACAGGCGAUGAAGGACGUGGUAGCCUGCGAAAAGCUUCGGGGAGCCGGCAAACAGGCUUUGAUCCGGAGAUGUCCGAAUGGGGAAACCCGG